rnacentral:rRNA from 1 species
CCUACGGGUGGCAGCAGUGGGGAAUAUUGGGCAAUGGGCGCAAGCCUGACCCAGCAACGCCGCGUGAAGGAAGAAGGCUUUCGGGUUGUACACUUCUUUUCUCAGGGACGAAGCCAGUGACGGUACCUGAGGAAUAAGCCACGGCUAACUACGUGCCAGCAGCCGCGGUAAUACGUAGGUGGCAAGCGUUAUCCGGAUUUACUGGGUGUAAAGGGCGUGUAGGCGGGACUGCAAGUCAGAUGUGAAAACCACGGGCUUAACCUGUAGCCUGCAUUUGAAAUUGUAGUUCUUGAGUACUGGAGAGGCAGACGGAAUGCCUAGUGUAGCGGUGAAAUGCGUAGAUAUAAGGAGGAACACCAGUGGCGAAGGCGGUCUGCUGGACAGCAACUGACGCUGAGGCGCGAAAGCGUGGGGAGCAAACAGGAUUAGAUACCCCUGUAGUC